CGAACGCUGGCGGUAUGCUUAACACAUGCAAGUCGAACGAGAAAGUUCCUUCGGGAACGAGUAGAGUGGCGCACGGGUGAGUAACACGUAGAUAACCUGCCCCUUAGUCCGGGACAACCCUUCGAAAGGGGGGCUAAUACUGGAUAAUACUUAGGACCUAAUGGUUUUAAGUUGAAAGAUUCAUCGCUGGGGGAUGGGUCUGCGUACCAUUAGUUAGUUGGUAAGGUAACGGCUUACCAAGACAUCGAUGGUUAGCGGGUCUGAGAGGAUGAUCCGCCACACUGGAACUGAGACACGGUCCAGACUCCUACGGGAGGCAGCAGUGGGGAAUUUUGCGCAAUGGGCGAAAGCCUGACGCAGCAAUACCGCGUGAGUGAAGAAGGCCUUUGGGUCGUAAAGCUCUUUUCUAAGGGAAGAUAGUGACGGUACCUUAGGAAUAAGCACCGGCUAACUCC
rnacentral:rRNA from 1 species